rnacentral:rRNA from 1 species
CUACGGGAGGCACCAGUGAGGAAUAUUGCACAAUGGGGGAAACCCUGAUGCAGCAACGCCGCGUGGAGGAUGACGCAUUUCGGUGUGUAAACUCCUUUUAUGAGUCAAGAAAAUGACGGUAGCUCAUGAAUAAGCACCGGCUAACUCCGUGCCAGCAGCCGCGGUAAUACGGAGGGUGCAAGCGUUACUCGGAAUCACUGGGCGUAAAGGACGCGUAGGCGGGAUGUCAAGUCAGGUGUGAAAUCCUACAGCUUAACUGUAGAACUGCACUUGAAACUUCUAAUCUAGAGUAUGGGAGGGGGUGAUGGAAUUAGUGGUGUAGGGGUAAAAUCCGUAGAUAUCACUAGGAAUACCUAAAGCGAAGGCGAUCUCCUGGAACAUUACUGACGCUAAGGCGUGAAAGCGUGGGGAGCAAACAGGAUUAGAUACCCCGGUAGUC